AUUUUUUAAGUAAUCUCUAUAUCCAACGUGGGGUUGAGCUCAUGACUCUGAGAUCAAAAGUCACAUGCUCUUCCAACUGAGACAGU
rnacentral:snoRNA from 1 species